rnacentral:lncRNA from 1 species
AAAUAAUAAGGUGAGUAUACCUUCACCUAGUGUAUCAUUUACUCAGAGAAAAUGAUAUGGAAUCAGAUAAUUCGGAUUUUGAAUCGAAUAUGGUGGAUUUGGAGCAACAAAAGAAUGUUUAUGUUGUUGAAAAUGAGGUUGUGAAAGAUAUGAGAGCUCCAUGGGUUAAUCUUUUUAAAGACAAUAGAAAAAUGGAAGAAAAUAUAAAGUUGAAAGCUUUUGAAAGUCAAUCGGAUGAAGCUGUCUUAGAUGAAUUGGAUGAAGACAAUAUUGAGACUUCGUGGGGAUACGGGCUUGUUGGAUAUUUUGUCGGUCAGUUUCCAGGGAAAGUUGCUCUUCUCCAACUUUGUGACUCAUGGAAGGUGAAUUGUAAAUAUUUUGUGCAUGCAAGUGGUUGGUAGGUCUUCAAAUUCGAAACGGAUGUGGAUAGACUAAUUGUUUUGCAUGGGGGUCCAUAUUUGGUGUUUGGGAGACUGCUAAUGCUUAAAGUUAUGCCACGUUAUGUUGACUUCGAUGAUAAGGACGUGAGUACUAUACCGGUUUGGAUAAACCUACGGGGGUUGCCUUUGGAAUUUUGGAAUACAAAUACCUUGGGCAAAAUUGUGUCAAAGGUUGGGAAACCCAUCUCAAUUGUGUCAGAGGCCGACUCUUCUAUGCAAGAGCUCUUGUUGAAAUUGAUGCUUCUAUUGAACUUGUGCGGGAGGUUAAGAUUAGACUCCCAAAUGACACGUUGACGAAACAAGAAAUUAUUUUUGAACAUAAACCAAAAUUUUGUGGUUCUUGUAAAGUCUUCCGUCAUACUUCUCAUGGAUGCAAUAUAAAACAUGGCAGGUGGGAAAAAGGAAAAGGAAAAUCCACGAGGACUACUCAACAGAAAAAUGGACAGGCUAGAAAAUCGACCUCAAAUUCCCUGAAUUCUCCUAUCGAGGCAACUUGUUGUGAGCAAGAAAUUGGAGAACAACAAACCUCAACUUUGGAUGGGCAUAAAAGGCAGCUUAUUGGCUGAAAAUUAGUUAGCUCUUGAAAAUGUGGAUGACCAACAGGUGGAAAAUUCGAACCAGGUUGAGGCACCAUUUGUGAAGGUUGUUAGCAAGAAAAACAGGGCUGUUGUGGUGAAAAAAUCUGCUCAUCAUGAGCCCUCAAAAUUCGGGGUAGAUUCAUUAUCCAAUAUCAACGGGGCAACUUCUAGUAAAUCUGGAAAUGAAAAGCUAAAGGACAAAGUCGAUGAGAAAAAGAGGUUGGGAUCAAAAGGUGACGAGAAGAAGGGUACAUCCCUUGCUUCAACAUCAUGAAGAUCGCUUCUUGAAACAUUAGGGGUAUGAAUCGACCACUUAAACAAAAUGGGAUUCUGGAUUUUAUCAAGGAACAUUGCAUUGAUAUUAUGGGUAUUUUGGGGACGAAGUUGGUUGAUCGAAAAUUGAUGAGAAUCUUACGAAAUAAAUUUGAUGGCUUCAUGCAUGUAAACAACUUUUGCACUCAUAGAGCCGGACGGAUCUUGUUUUGUGGAAUCCAUCCAAAGUAUUUUUGGAUGUGAUGGAAGUUCAUCCACAAAUCAUUCAUUGUAAAGCUACUUGCAAGUAACAUUUUAUACCAUUCUCGUUAGUUUUGUUUAUGGAUUUCAUACUUUGAUUAACCGACGGCCACUUUGGAAUAACAUUAUGGAAUUCAAAGCUCGAGUUUCGUUGCCUUGGAUGAUUCUUGGUGACUACAACAAUGUCCUCAAAUUUGAUGAGAAAUGUAAUGGGGCGGAUGUUACUCCUUAUGAAAUUAAGGAUUUUUAAAAUUGUUGCCUUCAUGUGGGUCUUACCGAUGUGCGCUCCAUUGGUUGUUAUUAAACGUGGACUAAUAACUCGGUUUGGAGCAAAAUUGACAGGGAAAUGAUAAAUGAUAUUUGGGUGCAAAAUGGGACAUGUGUUGAUGCAAAUUUUCUACUGUCCGGAUGCCUUUCCAACCACUCCCCUUGCACUACUUCCAUUCAUGACCGUGUUGGGGGCGCUAAUAAACCUUUUAAGUUUUUUGACAUGUGGACUAAGCAUGAGAAGUUUCAUGAUCUUAUUCAAACUUGUUGGAACUUUAAUGUGCAGGGGACAAAGCAAUUUAUCCUUUGCAAUAAGUUGAGCAAACUAAAGGGAGUUUUAAAGGAGCUUAAUAUUAAGCCUUUUGGCCACAUUUCGACUAGGGCAAAUGAGGCUAAAAAUGAAUUCGAGGUUGCCCAAUUACAACUUGACAAUUAGCCCAUGAAUGAGAAUUUUCAACUUGCUAAAUUGAGGAAGAUUGUCGUUGGUUUAUGUGAAGCGGAACGUAGUUUUUAUUAUCAAAAGGCAAAAUGC